AGGAAAGUAACCAAGACAGUUCAGGGUUGGCUGGCUCUGUUUGAGGGGCAGCGCAUCACGGCGGGGAACGUGGAGGAACAAAGCUGUUCCCCUCCCUGCGACCGGGAAACAACUGGGGGCAGCGUCCCAGUAUUCCCUUCCGGGUCACACCUGACUUCCGGGGUUUAACUUCCUGCCAUUUGGCCCCACUUUCUGAAGGUUCCGCGACCCACCCAGCUUGGCGACCAAACCUUUAACGUAGGAGCCUUUGAGCCUUUGAGGGAGAGAGGAUUCAAGUCCUGCCAGUCAGCAAACAGGAAUAAAGGGGAAGCAGGAAAGACGAGAGGUGCUGGCGCAGGUCGGCGUUCACAGCAGCUGAGGCCUGUUUGGCCAAGCUCCAUAAUAACCCAGAGAAGACACCCAAAUAAUCUGGAGAGCUGUGUUUUUCUCUGUCAGUUUAGGACUGACCGCUUGGCCAAGGAAACAGGUGGAGGAAGCAGGCCAGGGAAGGCUCUGCCAGCCCGACGAAGCAGAUAGGGCCGAGUCUGAAACCCAGGCCGAGCUGAAGUUGCAGUUAGUGUGGAAAUGAAGAUCUUUCAGAAGAGAGGACGUUCCCAGAGCUUGUUCUCUGUUGUCUCGCCGUCUCUUGGCUCCACCCAGACAGCCCCUUGGCUCGCAGACUGUGGCUCCCCAGCGGGACGGCGGGCAGCCUCCCUAACCUUCUCCUGUAAGGCAGAGAGAAGAGGACGACAUGCUCCCCUCGGAACCCACACGCCGCAGCAGAGUUUGCUGCAGACCCCCAAAGCCAAAUCGCGGGGAGUCCUCGAUGGCAUUUCCGGGAGCUGCCACCACCUACCUAAAAAGCUGGUCUCUCUGCAAAGGCUGGAGAGCCGGAGCUAAAGUCAGAGGACUCAAGCUUGUCUACCUGUUGGGGUCAUAAAGAAGAGCCUGGCACACAGCAUGAACAUAAUAAACACUUGCUGCACACGGACAAAUGGAUGAAGCCCUGCCAUUCGCCUCACGUCGUGGGAGGGGGCCAGCAUCUUCUGGUAGGACAGGAAGGCAUGGGAGCAGGAAGGCUGUUGAAGGAGAGCAAAGAUCCAUGGAAGGUGCUGGGUGAGGGUGCCCUGCCCGUCUCCUGGUCUCCCGCUGUCGCUCCUCCAUUCCUACUGGCAGCUCCCACAGGAUGCCCCCUGUAGGCGCAGGAACAAACUGCAAUGUAUCAGCAUGGGAAGCACAACUCCCACUGUUGGGACUGGUAGGAAAUGGCCUUGUCUCAAGUAACCAGAAGCCAAGAGAAAGCACAGGCAGGGCUUUGCAGAGCUGGAAGGGCAGGAGGGGGACAGGAAGGAGCCCUGGCCAGGCCAGCAUGGCCACGUAGAAAAUGGAAUCAAUUCCCAGAAUGCCAACCCAGAACCAGAAUCCCCAGGACUUCCCCAGCAGUUUAUGAAGUCAGGGAUUCUCAUCCCCAAAAAGUGGCUGUCUGGGAGCUGAAGUGAGACAGACCUGGGUGAGUUCCUAGUCCACCUUUGUUGUCUGUGAACAUGGAGAAUGAGGGUUCUUGCAAGGAUCAAAGCAAUGAUGCUCUUGAAGAGCUCGGUGUGCAGGUGCUUGGGGAACCCCAGUUGAAAUUUGUUUUCACACUCAGAAGCUGGAAUGGUGUUUGGCAGAGCCACUGAGAAAGUAAGAAGGACAGGAGUGGGGGAACCCCAGGUCCAUCUCCACCUGGUUAUUUGAGCACAAGGUCACCCCACCUCUCACAACCACUGUCUCCUUGGAGUAAAAGGGCUUGGACUUGAUGCACCCUAACAGUGCUCUUCACCUCCAGGGCCUUGCGAUUUGUGACCCUGAACAGAUCAUUUUUCACUGGGCUCUGUUAGAGGAGGGAAAUAUGAGACAAGGACUUAACCGGAUGUCACAAAGCGGGUUCUCGGAGGUUUUCUUCACAGACUUGGAAGAUGUCCCUGUGCCCUCUGUCUUAAUUGCUUUCUCGUUGCUGAGACACAAUAUCUGAUGCCUGAAAAUUAAAUGCAGAAGUUUAUUCUGGCCCUCAGUUGGUAGAGAUUUUAGUCCAUAGUCCACUGGCCCCAAGGCAGAGGGGUGUGGCAGAGGAGGAACAGUCCAUGGCAUCGUAGCAGGAAGCAGAGAGAGAUCAAGGGAGGAGGAGGGAGGCAGACUUCCAAGCCACACCUCCAGUGACCCACACCUCCAACCAGGCUUCAUCUUCCAACAUCACAUUUGUCUAUAAACUCACCAGUGCACCAAUCCACGGAUGAGUGUCAGAACCCCAUUAUCCAGUCACUUCUCAAAAGCCCCACCUAUGAGCACAUGAGGCUUUGAGGGGGCAUCUAGUUAUAAACCAUAACACCCUUAAGUCUCUGCUAAUAUCCUGUCGUUGUCACCCCACAUGUAAGACCUAUGAAAUGCAGGGACAGCCUCACACCAUGGCAAACUAGUCAGUGACUCCUAAGCCUGGCUGUUAUGAUUUGGAUCUUAAAUGUCCCCUGAAGGCUCCAGUGUUGGAAGUUUGGGCCCAGCUUAUGGAGCUACUGGGAGGUGGUAGAACCCAUAGGAGGUGGGACCUAGUGGAAGGAUGCCACUGAAAUGUGAUCAUGAAGGGACAUUGGGGCCCCACCCCUCCCCUCACUGCUUCCCAGCCACCAUGAGGUGAGCAGCUGUACCCCACCACGUGCCACUCACCAUGAUGCUCUGCCUCACUCCAGCCCUAAAACAACAGGGCCAAGUGACCAUGGACUGAAACCUCUGAAACCAUGACCCACACUGAACCUUUCCUCCUUUUAAGGUGAUUGUUUCAGGGAUUUUGUCACAGUGAUGGAAAGCUGACUAACACAGGUUGUGCUCAGGUCCCUGGAUGCUGAAAGUACAGACUCUCAGACCUACCUCUUGCUGUUGAUUUAGAAUCUCUGCAGGUGAGCUCAGGAGGCAGGGUUUUUAUCAGUCAUCCCAGGAAAUACUGACAGCUAUAUGAGGACACGUAUUUGGGACAGACGGGAGAAGGUCAUUGCUUACUGUGUAGGUUGGUGGUGACAGGAAGUAUGCGCUCCUGAAUGUCUUAGUGGCAUGUUGGAAAUCACCUCUGUAGGGGCAUCUGCAACUGGAAGUGUCCUCAGCUCAUACCUGUCUGGGUCAGGCUCGGAGAAUUUACUUCUAGGCACUUCCCUGGUCCCAGCCAGAGGAGCAGCAGUGUGGACACCUGACACCCUGUAGGUCAAGAGGAAGAGAAGAAAGGCAAGGAGGGGCUGCAUCAUCUGCUUGAGCGCCAGAGUUAGGCGCUUAAUCAGCAGGCAUUCAUUGUUUCCAUUUCUGGAAGCUGGAAGUCCAGGGUCCUGGUGUCAGCAGGCUUGGUCUUUCUGAAACCUCCCCUUGGCUUGCGGAUGGGCCCUGCCCUGGGGGAGCCGGUGCUGUGUCCAACCAUGAGCCACGCUCCAGUCCCCUUCUGUGAGCACCAGGAGCCUGGGAAGGAAGGAAGGAAGGAAGGUUCUGGCUGACUGUGGAGAAACCAGAGCCCGGAAGUGAGUGGUGGUGGCCACACACACCAAGGGCCAGCACCAUGUUCCCGGCAGGGGGCCGUUCAGAGCCAGGGGCUGUGGUGGUCAGUGACCCCCUUGGCCCUCUGCUGCUGUACUCUGACUUGGGACAUCCUAAGGGAGCCUCCAUGGACUGUGGGGCCAGCAAGGCAGUGCUUCUGGUGACAUAGGGCCCGCCAGGUACCAGGGAUCACAUCCCCUGGGGGACCCUCACCAUGCCGCCUGCCCCCAGCCCCCAAGCCCCCCAGCCCCGGGGUCGCCACUUUCACACCCUCAGUUAGCAGCCACCUCGGGGAAAGAAAGGCCCAGGGGCUCUGAGAGCAACAUGAAAGUUUGCGCCUCUCCUUCAGUUUUUAAACUCUUCCUCUCUGGCCAGGCCAAGGCCAGAACCGCCUGCUUGUUUAUUUUUAAGUGUUUGUGCUGAUGAAGCAAUGAUGAUAUUUCCUCUUCCUCUCCCCUCUCUUCCUGUCCCUCUGUCUGUCUCUGUCUUUCUUGUAGCUCUGGGAGUUAAACUCAGGUCCUUUGUGCUGACCUAAAUCUCCAGACUUCCUUUAGAAACCUUUUUUUCUUUUUAAGUUUUGAGAAAAAGUCUUAGUAAGUUGUUAAGUUGCUCAGGUUGUUCUUGAAUUUUGGAUCCUUGUGCUUCAGCCUCCCAGAAUGCUGGGAUUGCAUGCAUGUCCCACCGUGCCCAGCUUCUUACUUCUAACCCAGCUCAUAGAGAUGACUUUAGAUCCUCGAUGUCACUGUCACUGAAAAAACAAUGCCCCAGCUCACAGGAAGUGAAUCUCUGGUGUCCAGAGCACCUGCCAAGAGGAGAGGAAAGCUGACAGGGUUGGGGGUCAGGAGCCCCCUGGCAGCUUCAGACCUGUGAUUUCUGGAGAAGGCCGGUCUGGGUCCGCAGGCUCAUCUGUCCCUUCCUUUCCCCAGGUGGCACUUGGCCUGCAGUGCCUCAGCCCAUCAGUCCCCUGACGCCACACAGGUGUCAGACAGGCCAGAGAAGCAAGGCAGUGUCGGGGCCCAGGGCCGCCUGGGGUGAGGGCAGCAUGUCGGGGGGGCUGCGCCCCAGCAGGCUCGCACAGGCUGGGAAGGCCGCCAGCAGACGGCUUUGUUUUUCGGCGCCACUUUGCUGUGAGCCUUCUCUUUCCUGAGACGACGCCAGCUGAUGGCGGGGGGAGAGAGACAGAGCUGAAUGGGACAGGCCUUGGCCUCCGCCGCUGGCCUCCUGCAUCCGCCCUUCAGAUCUCGCAGCCAGGGAAGCAGAUGUCCUGCUGGAGACUCGGCGUCUGAGGCCCACCCCAGCCCGCCUGCCUCCUCCCAGAGGAAGCCUAGAGCAGGGCCUGCCAGCUGUUGGGCUCCCUGGGCUCUGGCCCUGGUGGACUCUGUGUGCCAGGCGCCAGGUGCCAGGUAGGGGUGCUGGCCUUGCAGCUUGUGGCGGAGGGGCUGGGUGUGCGGGGACGGGAGGAGAGGGUGCCCGGCUGUCAGGACAAAGGGCAGAAAGAGGCCACUUCAGGUUCAGGUCUGGGGGUCCAGAAGGUCUCCACCCUCCACCAGCAGAGCUACAAACUAGAUGGACUAGCAGGUAGAGCAGGAGGGACACUCGAGCUAAGCCUGUGAUCCCACGUAAUUUGUUUUGCAUUUGGAGAAGGUCUCCAGCUGUGGCUUUUUCCAGGCCCGUGAGACUUUCCCAGGGCGGGGCGCUGGAGAGGGGCAUGUGGGUGCCAGGAGGCCCCAGGCUGGCCCGGGCUCUGGGAAGCAAGUGGCCAUGGCCUCCCCAGGCUGCUGGCCUCAGCUGGGGCGGCCACCGCCCAUCAGACACAGAGACAGGGACAGCAGCUGCUGCUGCAAGGUCGCCAUGGUGACUGUGACCGGCUGCUCCGGCUUUGCCCGCCCGGCUGGCAGCCCCUCCCCAGGGUGGAGGGCUGAGGUCAGACCCGUGGCCGCCUGGGCUCCGGAGCCUCAGAUCUUCUCUGGCAGCCAGGUUCAAAGCUGGGCUCCGGGCAGAGGCAAGAGAGCAGAAAAGGGCCCGGAAGGGAGGAGAAAGCUGGGCUUUACAAACACGAGCCAUUGUUCUCACACAAAAUCGAACUCAUUACUUGGGAGAUGAAAAGAAUUAGGUUUGAGAGAGAACCUCACCUAGUCAAAAUCACCUCAUUACCCCUGAGUGCCGCGGACCAGUGAUUUGCUAGUUUCCCUGAUCUUUCAGGUGUUUGGCUGAAAUCUCUUAUAAGAUCAUUUACAUCAUUUUGGCUAAGGUGAAGAAUGACUAAUAAACUCCUUUCUGAAAACUCUUCUGCUGUUUUUCAGACCAAUCAAGUCUUCUUGCAGCUAGACAACUCUGAUUACUUUAAACAGUGGCUUUUCAUGACUGAAUAUCUUUUUUUUCCUGUAGAAUGACACUGACACAUCUGUUCAGUAAAUUAUCAACAGAUUUAUUUGACUGUUCCGAAGUCCACUCACCAAGAAAGCUGAGGAAAAGGAAGCAAAGAAUUAGAGGGAAAAGUAGGAGUCACCUUACCGUGUCUCAGAAAGACGAUCAGUAUUUUUUUAAAGUGUUACUUGUAAUAUCUUUUGAAGGCUUAUUCCCAGGUCUUUAAACAUCUCUCCUGCUCUUCCCUGAGUCCCUUCUGGUUUUCAGCAUCCUGUAAAGGGUGUGAAUCAAAAUGAUCCUUUCUCCUAAUCAGGACUCCGAUCACUACACUGUGAAUGUGUAUAGAAGAGUCGCCUUCAGGCACACGAGUCUGCUUUGUCAUGGCGGUCAUCAGGCACACCUGCUUUAUUUAAUAACUCGUUACUGCGUUCCCAGCUCAUGGUUCGCUAGAAUCCCUGGAGUUUUGUUUUUAUUUUCCUUUUUCUAUAACUGUGCCUGAUUUCCAAGUCUCUUUGGGUUACUAUGAUCUCUGCCAUUUCACUUAAAACUUUCUCCUGAUGAGGCCAUCCUCUUAAGUGAAAUAAAUAGGACACACGUGUAAAUACCGAAUAGUUUCUCAGGUGUGAGAAAGUGUAAAUAAGGAUUAAAAUGAUUAAAAUGAAUAAAUGAUAAUUUGAAAUAGGAAGAAAAGGUCCAAAGGGGUAGGAAAAGUGGGAGAGGAAGGGGAAAGGAAAGAAGGGAAAGGAAAAAUUAUGAGAAAAGGAAAAAAUGGAAACAAAGUGUUUGUAAAUAGG
rnacentral:lncRNA from 1 species